rnacentral:misc_RNA from 1 species
AAUAAUAUUUUGUUGUGUGAUAUUGAUAAGAAGAAAAUAAGUGUUCGGAAUAUACUGACAGUGAUAAAAUGAUCAACGAUUCUCCUGAGUGGAUUCAUUUCAAUGUUGGAGGAACUCUUUUUGCAACGACCAAAACAACUGUUGAUCGGGAUCCUAAAUCCUUCCUUUCACGAUUACACAGGAUUUCCGAAGAGCUGCCCUCCAUUCAGGAUAAGAAUGGUGCAUAUUUGAUUGACCGCGAUCCUCAUUACUUUGCUCCUGUCCUUAAUUUCCUUCGUCAUGGAAAACUUGUCUUGGAUAAAAACAUAUCAGAAGAGGGAGUUUUAGAAGAGGCUGAAUUUUAUAAUGUAUCCUCUUUAAUUAAGCUCAUAAAGGAGCGAAUUCACAUAAGAGACAUUCAGAAGAAGGAAACCAAAGGGAAACAUGUAUAUCGUUUACUUCAAUGUCACGAAGAGGAGCUGACUCAAAUGAUAUCCACGCUAUCAGACGGAUGGAAGCUCGUACAAGUGAUAAAUACUGGUCCAGGCUAUCGAUAUGGUACAGAUGAUCACGGGGGGGAGUACUAUUGUAUUGUUUCUAGAGAGUAUCCCGUGGACUCCAAUAUCCUGGAAACGGAAUCCACAGACAGGGCUAAGGUACUUCAAAAAAUGGGAUCCAGAUGAAAUUUGCUUAUUAACCACUCGCUUUUUAUACUUGCUUUAUGAAAUUUAAUGGGAUUGGUGAUUGGACCAAAACAUUAUUAUUCAUAAUAUACCUAUAUAUUCAUUUGUAUAUUUUGCUAAGGGCAAUUGAAUUUUAUAUUUUUGUAUAGUACUUUAAGGAUUUUAGUUUAUAAAAAUUACAUUGUCUCAAACUUGAUCGAAAUUUGUGAAUAUUCUUUCGAUUUUGUAUAUAAUUUAUGAAUAUGAACGCGAGCCUUCCAAGUUUUUGUACGUUUUGGCUUUCAUUAAUUAAUUGAUAUCACUAUUAUUAUUUUUUGAAAAUGAGCAUAUUAAUUAUAUAUAUUAUUACAAAUUGAAUGAUAUUGUGACGAGUUAAAAAGCUUCCUCUCCUGUAAUAAUAAAAACUUGUUUAAUGAAGAUAAUUCGAUUCACUUUGUGUUUUGUUCAUUCUCUGAAUAUAAUAUUUUGUACGUUCAGACCGUUAUAAAAUUGUUGUAUUAUUUUUUUCGCAAUCAUGAUUCCUUAUGUGUUCUUCUUGUGACCUCACUCAAUGACAAGCUUAUUUGCUAAACGCUUAAAUGAGUUAUAAAAUUCUACGAUCUUUUUUCAACUCAAAGCUAGACAAGGUAUUAAAUUCAAAAACAACACUCUAACUAUUGAAAACCUAUGUCUUUGAAGGAUACAUCUCCCCUCCUAUCUCUUCUUAAAUUAUGUGCUUACUGUUCACUUUGUAAAUAUAUACUUCAAAUUAAAUCGAUUUCUUACAGGUUUUUGUAAUUGAAUUAUGUUGAUAUUUUUUACUUUGUACAUCAAGCUUAACCAUAUUAUUUUUUUUAAUAAGGCUUAUCUAUCGUGUUGCAUGUACUUGCUGUUUCUGAGUAAUAUGUAUUUUUAUUGUGUAAUUCGUAUCUCUGUAUUCUUUGAUUUCAAAAAAUCGUUUGACAAAAAAUAAAACAAGUAUUUUCAAAAGUUA